rnacentral:lncRNA from 1 species
UCCUGGAGCAGGGGCAGGGUGGCUGCAGUAAUUGUGUUAGGUCUCCAGUUCCGGUUUAUGAAUUAAGAGGUGAAAUGGAGAGGCACUCUACAAUGUUCCCUCUGCCAUACAGCCUCCCAGUUGGUCUCUCCCACUCUACACUCUCCCUCUCCGUCUAUCACACAUACUGCUGACUGACUCAUUUUAAAACACAUCUUUAUGUCACAGCCCUGCUCAGAACUUCCAAUACUCUACUCUUAAGUCUAAAUUCCUUAAGCUGAAUUUAAGGUUCUUAAUGAUUUUACUCUCCCCUAUCAAUUCAGGUUCCACCAGGUGUGUGCCACUAUCUACCACCUGCUCAUCCAGCUGAAAGCCUUGCACUCCUGUGCCUCUGGUCUGGGAGCCCUUUCCUCUCACAGAUCUGUCACCUACUCAUCCACAAGACACACAGUAUCAUGCAAGGCAGAGAGUAUAAAUGGUGAACAAAACUGUCAGAGUCCUUGCCCAGGGGAGCUGGAAGGGAAUAGAGGUAAGGAACAGGAUUGUUUCCACUUAAAAUGAAUAUUAAUGCUGGCUAGAUACUCUAGAUAUUACCUGUGCCAGCCACCUCAUUUACCAGGUGAGGAAAUGGAGGUAUAGAGAGACCGUACGUGUUUUGGUGAAGAUCAGAGUAUGGAGUAAAACCACAGCUGCAGGCAGUUAUCCUCAGGUCCUCCCGUGUCACACGGCUGCUCCUCACCUCGCAGGAGGGAUGUCAGGAUGUAGGGAAUACUCCUUCACGCGUUCCUUCAACUGACAAGUAGUCACUGAGUGUCCACUGAGUAUCCAAGAUUAUUCCGGUGGUGGGAAAACAGUAACGAAGCUGGUCCAUCCCUACGCUCCAGGAGUUUACUUUGUAAACGUCUUUGAGUUGAGAUCACGGGGUAAAAGGACAUUGAGUUUCCGCUUUACUUCACUGAGGUGGCAGAGAUGAAGUGUACUGGAGGACGGGAGCCGAACGUAACUUCAGAGGGUUGGUGUGGUAGGCCGACCAAUGGUUCCCCAAAGAUGUCCAUGUCCUACCCACCUGGAUCCAAUGUAAUCAGGAGAGGCCUUAUAAAAGAGGGAGAGAGGCAGGAGAGUCAGAGAUGUGACAAGAGAUGCAGAUGGCAGUGAUGGGAUUACUGGCUGGAGGCCGCGAGAUGAGGAACAUGGCAACCUCUAGAAGCUGGAAAAGGCAAGAAACAGACUCCCCUGCAGCCUCCAGAAGGAAGGAAGCCUUGCCAAUGCUUUGGUUUUGUCCCCUUAAGACCUGUUCCGGACUUCAGACCUCCAGAACUAUAAGAGAACAAAUUUGUGUUGUUUUAAGCCACAAAUUUGUGGUAAUUUGAUACAGCAGCAAAAGAAACUAGUACAGUUGCUAAACUGGCUAUGUGGAUACUAUGUUUUAUGAAAAGAAAGAAGUGUUAUUAAGAUACCAUAGGAUUAGGGGCCAGCCCUGUGGACGAGUGGUUAAAUUUGCACGUUCUACUUCAGUGGCCCAGGGUUUCGCUGGUUCGAAUCCUGGGUGCAGACAUGGCACCACUCAUCAGGCCAUGCUGAGGCGGCAUCCCACAUGCCACAACUAGAAGGACCCAUAACUAAAAAUACACAACUAUGUACUGAGGGACUU